rnacentral:rRNA from 1 species
UAGGGAAUCUUCCGCAAUGGACGCAAGUCUGACGGAGCAACGCCGCGUGAGUGAAGAAGGAUUUCGGUUCGUAAAACUCUGUUGUUAGAGAAGAACAGCGCAUAGAGUAACUGUUAUGCGUGUGACGGUAUCUAACCAGAAAGCCACGGCUAACUACGUGCCAGCAGCCGCGGUAAUACGUAGGUGGCAAGCGUUGUCCGGAUUUAUUGGGCGUAAAGCGAGCGCAGGCGGUCAAUUAAGUCUGAUGUGAAAGCCCCCGGCUCAACCGGGGAGUGUCAUUGGAAACUGGUUGACUUGAGUGCAGAAGAGGAGAGUGGAAUUCCAUGUGUAGCGGUAAAAUGCGUAGAUAUAUGGAGGAACACCAGUGGCGAAGGCGACUCUCUGGUCUGUAACUGACGCUGAGGCUCGAAAGCGUGGGUAGCAAACAGG